CCGGCGGGGAGGGGGAGCGCGUCCCCGCGCCCCGGGCCCGCGCAGCAGGUGCGGCCAGGCCCCAACUCUCACGAGCGGUCCGGGCGACUCACCCCGACGAUGUCCCUCAGCGACCUAGAAGCCGCCACACACGUCUCUUCCGCCAGCAGCGACCCCGCCUCGUGGCCACCGCCCCCUCGACCGCCGCCGUCGCCGCCUUCCUCGCCGCCGCCGUCGCGGCGCGCGCCCGCUUUCACGCACACCGCCGUGGCCGCGCACGCGCUCUGCGCGCUGGCGUCACUUAGCAACGGCUCAACCGUGGGCCAGUAGAACCCAGGACGCCAGGGCCCCAGGUCGCCUCAGGCGGGGGUCUUGCGGCGUGUUUCCCCAGGUCGGAGCCACUGCCCCUCCAGUACUGGGCCCUGAGGGUGUGGCCGCCCUGCCGACACCUGGCUCAGGGUGAGGCACGUCAUCACACGUCACUGAAUAGCGUCAUCGGUCGCGUCACUGCGUAAGGGGACGAGCCGGAGCGCCGGUUGGAGAAAGCCUCGUCUUUCUGCACUUAGUCGCUUGCCUGAUGGACAGUCAGCUACGUGCGAGAAGUUGGACGAGGAGAAUGGGCCAAGAGAGGCAUUACCAGCAUGAAGGUGCUACGAGGCCAGGCCUGAAAUACCACGACUCAGUUUCCUCCUUCUGUCAGUGGGAAGACGGAUACCCGACUUGCCUGCGCUAGAAAGGUGUCAACUUAGGACGAAAUAAUGCAUGCGAGGCUGCGGGCGAACUGAUCUCAUUCGAACUCCUUAUUUCAAGACCCUGACAGAAAGCCCGGACAUAAGUCCUCGACACUCCAGGACUACCAAGUAUUAAUAAUCUGAUUAUGGGGCUGGAGAGAUGGCUCAGCGGCUAAGAUUACUGACUGCUCUUCCGAAGGUCAUGGGUUCAAAUCCCAGCAACCACAUGGUGGCUUACAACCAUCCUCAAUGAGAUCUGUCGCCCUCUUCUGGAGUGUCUGAA
rnacentral:lncRNA from 1 species